GUGUAGCUCAGUGGCUAGAGUACCUGCUGGGUAUGCAGAAGGUCCCAGGUUCAAUCCCCAAAGAUACCUGCAACA